rnacentral:rRNA from 1 species
UGGGGAAUUUUGGACAAUGGGGGCAACCCUGAUCCAGCAAUGCCGCGUGAGUGAAGAAGGCCUUCGGGUUGUAAAGCUCUUUUGUCAGGGAAGAAACGGUAGUAGCGAAUAACUACUACUAAUGACGGUACCUGAAGAAUAAGCACCGGCUAACUACGUGCCAGCAGCCGCGGUAAUACGUAGGGUGCAAGCGUUAAUCGGAAUUACUGGGCGUAAAGCGUGCGCAGGCGGUUGUGUAAGUCAGAUGUGAAAUCCCCGGGCUCAACCUGGGAAUUGCAUUUGAGACUGCACGGCUAGAGUGUGUCAGAGGGGGGUAGAAUUCCACGUGUAGCAGUGAAAUGCGUAGAUAUGUGGAGGAAUACCGAUGGCGAAGGCAGCCCCCUGGGAUAACACUGACGCUCAUGCACGAAAGCGUGGGGAGCAAACAGGAUUAGAUACCCUCGUAGUCCCUGAGCGGGCUGGCAAGGCGC